rnacentral:rRNA from 1 species
GUGCCAGCAGCCGCGGUAAUACGUAGGGUGCGAGCGUUAAUCGGAAUUACUGGGCGUAAAGCGUGCGCAGGCGGUUCGUUAAGUUCGUCGUGAAAGCCCCGGGCUCAACCUGGGAAUGGCGAUGGAAACUGGCGGGCUGGAGUGUGGCAGAGGGGGGUGGAAUUCCGCGUGUAGCAGUGAAAUGCGUAGAGAUGCGGAGGAACACCGAUGGCGAAGGCAGCCCCCUGGGCCAACACUGACGCUCAGGCACGAAAGCGUGGGGAGCAAACAGGAUUAGAUACCCCUGUAGUCC